GAUGAGAACGCAGCGAAAUGCGAUAAGUAAUGUGAAUUGCAGAAUUCAGUGAAUCAUCGAAUCUUUGAACGCACCUUGCGCCCUUUGGACUUCUGAAGGGCAUGCCUGUUUGAGUAUCAUGAACACCUCAACUCCUUAUGGUCUUCCAUGAUGAGCUUGGACUUUGGGGGUUUUGCUGGCCUACAGUCAGCUCCUCUAAAAUAAAUCAGCUUACCGGUGUUUGGUGGGUAUCAUGGGUGUGAUAACUAUCUACGCUCGUGGUUUUCCACCAGGUAACCUUCAGCAGUGGAGGUUCACUGGAGCUCAUAGAUGUCUCUCCUCAGCGAGGACAGCCCUUUGAAUGUUUGAUCUCAAAUCAGGUAGGACUACCCGCUGAACUUAAGCAUAUCAAUAAGCGGAGGA
rnacentral:misc_RNA from 1 species